UGGGAAAUGUGUCAAAGAGACAACAACCCGACCGUAGAACAGACAACAGCAGAAUGUCACCAACAGGUCUUUAAUGCAGCAAGAAAUUCCCGCACCCGAAGGCGUCCUUCAGCUGACCCCUAAAGAAAUAUAUAUACUAGUUCAGUGAUAAUGAACGCCAUACUAAACUCCAAAUUGUACACAAGAAACUAAAAUUAAAAAUAAUACAAGACUAACUAA
rnacentral:lncRNA from 1 species